UUAGGUCUGAGAAUGAUAGAAGGGCUUUACACAGCUGUUUGCUUUAUUUCYCCUUAUCGCCUCCCCAUCUCAUUGUUGCAAAAUGUUUGGGACAUAUCUUGUGAACACCAAGGGCUACUCCAUGGUCACAUACUUUUUACUUGGGGAGGGGAAAACAAAAAAAAAAAACCCAACUCCAAACAAAAAGUAAAACCAAAAAACCCCUAUAGCUGGAGAGAGGGAAAAGUUUCCAAUUCCAGUAUAUGAUCUUCAUAAGCACAAUUAGUGUAGAAUUCAGCGGUUUAUAGCUUGAAUUCAGUAAUACUGUUCUGUAAAAAAAUUCUUCAGUGAAUACUCCACKAGGUUUUUGGAUGAUAUACUGAACAUCUGUUCUAAUGAAGAGUCACCACAAGUCUGCUUUUUGGUGCUCUUCUGGUUCCAGGGAGGACACAGAAAGAAWUACUUGCUUUCUGUCUGUUCUUGCUAGUUUUGAUGGCCACUUGUGGUUCCRAAGUAUAGAGAUCAGUGUAGCUUGACUUCUGUGUGCCUGCAACUGGUUCAUUGCCAGCUGGAGAGAAACAGGCACUCCUCUAAAAARUCAUUGAAGCAGCUUCAAUAUUCUUGAACAUGUUUUCAUGGAAAGUGAGGGGAUGUGACGUUUGCRGAUUUUUGAAGGAAAAACUGGCAGGCAGGAUUUUAUAUGGCCUUUUAGGUAGCUCAACACAUCUCCUCCUGCCUAAGUAGAUGACAAAACUCCACCAGAAAACAUAUGCUGUGCAGUCACUAGCCUUUUAAAACUGUCAUGCACAUUGAAACACUGCAGCUCUCCAGGUGUUUUGAAAGUGGGUGUCCUGUCUGAUGGAGUUCUGUCCAUUGCCACACCAGAGUACUGCGCACUGGAUAUUGGGAACAAGCUUAAAAUUAGUUUAAGCAAAACCACUGAUAACCAAAUUGGGUUAGUUUAUUAAUGCCUUAGUAAUGCUUGCUGAUCUUAAAUAUGGAGUAGCUGUAAAUAUUCAAACCCCCAGCUUUGUAAAUGCAAAUAAAGUUAUGGGAAGUUUAACAUUUGGAAAGGAAGUAGUAAAUAGGCAUAUGCAGGAGCCUGGGUGUGGCAGGAGGAGAGGCCACUGCAGGCCAGCUAUCUCGGGUGGCACCUUGGAGUGCAAACUAUCAAAUGCAGCACCAUACCAGCAUCGCUUGUGCACUGUUCUUUGUGCCGGUGCCCCCACCUAUCAGCCAGAGAACAGGAGCUCUUCAACUCACAGCUCCCAGCAAUCCUUCCUAGACCUGAACUCAACUACCUAAAAGAGGAACAGCCGAGAUUUUGGGUAAAUCCCUGAUGCUGAAAACCUGCAGGAACAGAGAGAAACUUGACAAGAUUGGGUUGAAGCUGCAAACAUGUGUUAGAUAAAAGCGAGAGAAGAAAGUGGGGAUAAAUCAGAGAAGAUAAUCAACAAUGAUGAGCCUCCUUCAUGUCCUAGAUCCUUCGCAGCAAGGGACUGGGGCUCCAGCAGCAGUGGGGUUGGAGACUGUGCCAUGUCCUCACUUUUUACCAUGUGGUUCCCUCACAGCACACCAGGGAGGAAGAGGGAGGAGGAGGAGGGACAAAUGGAACAGGGAGGAACAUUUCUGUUCUUCUUUCGACCAUGAGGAGUGUUCAGAGAUUCAGUCCUCGAGUGGAAGAACUCGUAGUGGGGCAGCUCUAAUGUGCUKGUAAGCAGAAAACAUGGACCAGUGAAUAAGAAUGAAGCAAUAUCUGCUUUAUAAACACAUGGAGACAGCCUCUAUAUCUCUAUAAUGUAUUCAUGAUGAAGCAGUAAAAGCACUUUGGCCCAUGUCUUAAGGAACAUUAAAAUGUUAUUGUUACUGCAGUGUGUUGCCUGUCCUGCUUAGUGUUAUUGCCCACCCAGUAUAUCUUUUGGGCUUGUAAUUGAGAUAUAUUGAAGGGUAUUUCUUUAUAUUUAAAUAAUCAUGGGCCUAAUUUUCAGGAAGUGUCAAUAUGUCUGGCUGAAAUGGAAUCAAUGGGACCAAACUCCUUUGUACGAGCUAAGGUCCUGGGUGCUGAAAAAUACCCUAAUUAUCCUAAUGAGGGAAGGACCAAUCUAUCUCCUGAGACAUUUUAUGACCUACUUCUGCAGCUCCCCUGCUCUUUUGGGAAAGCUCUGCUGGGCUUCUGGCUCUUCGUCUCCUUGGUCUCCCCCAAAUCACUCACAAAAGCAAAUUCCACCAGAGAGAGAGGGAGACAGCUGCUUCUGCAUAUAUUAAUAAUACACAGUUCUAUAAAUGAUUAAUAAAAGAUACCACUGACUUUGAAUUAYGGUGCAGUGAAUCACACUUAGCUAUUUAGAUGGCUCUCUGCUCCAUCCUGGCCAUGCACGAGGCACCCAGGAUGAAUGAUUAUCCUGUCAYGCAGACCGUUGUUUCCACUUGCUUGAAUUGAGCUCUGCACAUAUCAGACAGGAUCAUGCAGCUGAGUAUGGCCCACCAGGGAGACCUUGCCCACCACAUGGAUGGUCAAAAUCAGACUGAUUCAUUUUUCAAAUUGCUUAAAGAUGUAUCUGUGGGAACAGAGUCAGCCAUAGUCUUCAUCCCUUGAUGUACUCUAAUCUAGAGCUUAUCCAGAGCAAGGUGAUAAUAUUUAAUUUAAUAACAUGUGUCAACAUUCUGGUGAAUCCUAUGGAGUGCUAGUACAGAGCAAUGUCCUGUUGCUCCUGUGCUGAUGGAUGUUCCAUGUUAAUUUUCUCCAGCUUUUCACUCUGUGGGAAGUCACUGCACUCUCUGCUGUGCCUCUCUKCAUUCUCCAUGAUGAUUACAUCCAUGUGAGAUCUAUCCCUAAAAAGGAAAUAUUAAUUUUUAAAAAGCUUUGCAAAAAUGAGAUUAUGUUUAAAAAUAAACAAACAAAAAACACCCCAAAAUUGAGAGUUAACUCAGUAACUGGGGGUUAUCUGAGUAGCUGGGAGCUUAGUGAAAGAAAUUGUCCAUGGGAGGWAGAAAACAGGAGCAGAAAUACAACCCUGUCUGGUCACCUGCAGACAACUCAGCCAGUUCUUGUUGACCUCCAGGUGAUUCACCCCAUCCCAAUGUCAAUCAAAAUGGAUCAGAAUGAUCACACCUGAAAAGUGCCUGAAAAGUUAAUUACAGCAGGAUCCUGAAGUGGCUUGCUCCAGAGCCCUAAAACCUGGGGAGAUGAGGCUUAGCUUUUAAAUCCCUGUAUUCCCUACCCUCUGGAGCAUUCUGUUAGGCUGCCAGUGCACAGAAGAGUGAAAGACUACAGUCACCUCUAACAACCUGUUCAUCAAAUAAUAUUCAGUGUUAAAAUGCUGUAGUGGCGAAGUGACUCUUCUAAUGGGGAUCUGUAGGGGUGUAAAUUCCCCCCAGAAACCUUGCCUGUGAUUUUGGCAAAGGAGGGGUGGAAAACCUCUUUGGGUUAUCCCAGAUAAAAGGAUAAACACCAAAGUAUUUAGAUCCAYAAGUGAGGCCUCCCUCCUCUUCAGGGGGGAAAAUGGGGCCCCAGAAGGAGUUUGGUGCCUUUGUGCCGGUUUCUGAGUGAAACAAACCUUUCAGGGGAAACAAUGCUAAUAGAGUCAUCGCUUUGGCACAUGAGCCCUGCUAGAAAGCAAGCCUGUUAAUCCCCUCUAUAGUCUCUCUAUUUAUACCCUUAGGCUGCACAUAAACUGGCCAAGUACAAGAACAAAAGCUGACUAGAAAUAUCUCCUGUGAUUGUUGCUCUCAUGAGCUAUUAUCCCUUUUAUUAAGGAGCAAGGCUCAGAACAACCUUUCUUAAGGACAAUAUUCUGUGAAGAAAUGUGAUUAUCAUGCUGAUUUAGGUGAAACUUGGCCCUGUGGCUCACCCCUCCCUCUACUCUCCCUGCCCAUUUUCCUUACUGUUCUUUUAAGUGGUGGUGCCAUCAACCAAGCUGGAGGAAUGCCCUGACCCCAACCCUGCUCCUUGCUUCUCUGAGAGAUCAGUAUCAGCCUACAGGUUAAGUUUGUCUUCUCAGCCAUUACUUUAAGACACUUGUUUAUGUCUUACAAUAAAAAGAAAAAAAAAUCUUGGACCAUAUUUUUGUGUUGUCACCUUAGAGGUGGGAUCUUUUAGARAAGAGCAAGGUGUGUGACUGUUCACCAGAUUCCUGGUGUCCUUCCU